rfam:Thermobrachium celere DSM 8682 genomic scaffold, scaffold37
GAUCAAGCUACAAAGGGCGCAUGGUGGAUGCCUUGGCACCAGGAGCCGAUGAAGGACGUGGUAAGCUGCGAAAAGCUGCGGGUAGCCGCAAACAGGCUGUGAUCCGCAGAUGUCCGAAUGGGGGAACCCGCAUGGCUAACGCCAUGCAUCCUUAGCUGAAUCCAUAGGCUAAGGAGGGCACACCCGGGGAACUGAAACAUCUAAGUACCCGGAGGAAAAGAAAGAAUAAUCGAUUCCCUAAGUAGCGGCGAGCGAAAGGGGAGGAGCCCAAACCAGAGGAAACUCUGGGGUUGCGGACAGGUCAAGAAAGCGAAGGAGUUCUUAGUCGAAUAGGUCUGGAAAGGCCAGCCACAGAAGGUAAAAGCCCUGUAGGCGAAAAGGACUUUGAGCGAGACCUGAUCCAGAGUACCACGGGACACGAGGAACCCUGUGGGAAGCAGGGAGGACCACCUCCCAAGGCUAAAUACUACCUGGUGACCGAUAGCGCAUAGUACCGUGAGGGAAAGGUGAAAAGAACCCCGGGAGGGGAGUGAAAUAGAACCUGAAACCGUGUGCCUACAAGCAGUCGGAGGGCGUUAAGGCCUGACGGCGUGCUUUUUGUAGAACGAGCCAGCGAGUUACGGUAUGUAGCGAGGUUAAGCACUUAAGGUGCGAAGCCGUAGGGAAACCGAGUCUGAAGAGGGCGUUAAGUUGCAUGCCGUAGACCCGAAACCGGGUGACCUAUCCAUGGACAGGGUGAAGGUGAGGUAAAACUUACUGGAGGCCCGAACCACGUUGGUGUUGAAAAACCAUGGGAUGAGCUGUGGAUAGCGGAGAAAUUCCAAUCGAACUCGGAGAUAGCUGGUUCUCCCCGAAAUAGCUUUAGGGCUAGCCUCGGGUUAGAGACAUGGAGGUAGAGCACUGAAUGGGCUAGGGGCCGUCUAGGUUACCGAACCUUAUCAAACUCCGAAUGCCAUAGUCUUGAUGCCCGGGAGUCAGACUUAGAGUGAUAAGAUCCUAAGUCAAAAGGGAAACAGCCCAGACCAUCAGCUAAGGUCCCAAAGUGCAUGUUAAGUGGUAAAGGAUGUGGGACUUCUAAGACAACCAGGAUGUUGGCUUAGAAGCAGCCAUUCAUUUAAAGAGUGCGUAAUAGCUCACUGGUCGAGAGGUCCUGCGCCGAAGAUGUCCGGGGCUCAAACAUGCCACCGAAGCUAUGGAUUUGGUACCGUUGCUACGGUACCAAAUGGUAGGGGAGCUUUCUUAGCGGGUUGAAGUCAGACCGUGAGGACUGGUGGACUGCUAAGAAGUGAGAAUGCUGGCAUAAGUAGCGAGAAAUAGGUGAGAAUCCUAUUCGCCGAAAACCUAAGGUUUCCUCAGGAAGGCUCGUCCGCUGAGGGUUAGUCGGGACCUAAGCCGAGGCCGAAAGGCGUAGGUGAUGGACAAUCGGUUGAUAUUCCGAUACCACCAGCAGCCGUUUGAGAGAUGGGGGGACGCAGGAGGAUAGGCUGAGCACACUGCUGGAUAUGUGUGUCCAAAGCACAAGGUAUGCCUCUUAGGCAAAUCCGGGAGGAUAAGCUGAGUGCUGAUGGGGAGCCGUAAGGCGAAGCAGCCGAUUUCACACUGCCGAGAAAAGCCUCUAUCGAGGAUGCUGGUGCCCGUACCGCAAACCGACACAGGUAGGUGAGGAGAGAAUCCUAAGGCGAGCGGGAGAACCCUUGUUAAGGAACUCGGCAAAUUGACCCCGUAACUUCGGGAGAAGGGGUGCCUACCGAAAGGUAGGCCGCAGAGAAUAGGCCCAGGCGACUGUUUAGCAAAAACACAGGUCUCUGCUAAGUCGAAAGACGAUGUAUAGGGGCUGACGCCUGCCCGGUGCUGGAAGGUUAAGGGGAAAGGUUAGCGCAAGCGAAGCUUUGAACCGAAGCCCCAGUAAACGGCGGCCGUAACUAUAACGGUCCUAAGGUAGCGAAAUUCCUUGUCGGGUAAGUUCCGACCCGCACGAAUGGCGUAACGACCUGGGCGCUGUCUCGACAAGGGACCCGGCGAAAUUGUAGUACAAGUGAAGAUGCUUGUUACCCGCGAUUGGACGGAAAGACCCCGUAGAGCUUUACUGCAGCUUAGCAUUGAGUUUCGGUAUUGUCUGUACAGGAUAGGUGGGAGGCUGAGAAGUAGCGUCGCCAGGCGCUAUGGAGCCGCCGUUGGGAUACCACCCUGAUGAUACUGAAGCUCUAACCGGAGGCCAUGAAGCUGGUCACGGGACAUUGUUAGGCGGGCAGUUUGACUGGGGCGGUCGCCUCCUAAAGAGUAACGGAGGCGCCCAAAGGUUCCCUCAGUGCGGUUGGAAAUCGCGCGUAGAGUGCAAAGGCAGAAGGGAGCCUAACUGUGAGACUGACAAGUCGAGCAGUGACGAAAGUCGGGCUUAGUGAUCCGGUGGUACCGAGUGGAAGGGCCAUCGCUCAACGGAUAAAAGCUACCUCGGGGAUAACAGGCUGAUCUCCCCCAAGAGUCCACAUCGACGGGGAGGUUUGGCACCUCGAUGUCGGCUCGUCGCAUCCUGGGGCUGAAGUAGGUCCCAAGGGUUGGGCUGUUCGCCCAUUAAAGCGGCACGCGAGCUGGGUUCAGAACGUCGUGAGACAGUUCGGUCCCUAUCCGUCGCGGGCGUAGGAAAUUUGAGAGGAGCUGUCCUUAGUACGAGAGGACCGGGAUGGACGAACCUCUGGUGCACCAGUUGUCGCGCCAGCGGCACAGCUGGGUAGCCAUGUUCGGAUGGGAUAAGCGCUGAAGGCAUCUAAGCGCGAAGCCCACCUCAAGAUGAGAUUUCCCAUAGCGUUAAGCUAGUAAGACCCCUGGAAGAACACCAGGUUGAUAGGCCAGAGGUGUAAGCGUCGUAAGGCGUUUAGCUGACUGGUACUAAUAGGUCGAGGGCUUGAUCAU